rnacentral:lncRNA from 1 species
GGUAAUUCUUAGUACAUUUGGGUAAAUUAAUCUUAUCUUUGUGCCGCAUAAGCAUCUCUAUAAUUCAACACAUCCCUGAGCCACGACAUUAUUAUUUUAUGCAUUGCAUGCGCUUCUUUGUAUCACAAUCCAGACCGGCUAGUAACCGUUGUAUAACUUUACACGUCUGAAGACGAAUAUUUGCAUGAAACAUUUUUGUAUGAUUUUUAUUUCUGGAACAGUCCUUUUCCGAAAGUCGGGCUGGACCUUUACUUUUAUGUGCAUUCGGGAUUUACACAAAUUGUAACCCGAAUAAUCCAGUCGUAUUAUUCAGCUGAUGUACGACUGCUACAUUGCUCUUGUGGGAGAAAAUCGGAC